AUCAGGGAGUGCAGAAUAUCAGCGGAGGCGUGUGAGAAACCCUAGCUCCGCUCUGCUUCCCCCACCUUCGCCCAAUCUUUCAUUUGAUGUGCAAUAUUUCCGACUUCGAGGUGCCAUGUCCGAUUUCGAGCUCCUGUUCGUGGGGAUUCCGAUUCAUUUCAUCAACGCCGAGAUGGGGGUUUUGAACAUGAGCUUGGAUUUGAGGAAAGAGCCCUCAAUCUUUGGAUUUCGAAAGAGAGUAAUAUCUCUUGAAGGCUUUUGGCAGAUACACAGGCAACAAGAACCCAAACAGAUUGAAGCUCCAAAGCGCCAUGUUGAUUACAGCAAGUGCUCUUCCGAUGAACAGAGCCGCUGGUUUCUUAUCUUCUUUGGCGAACUCUUCCCGCAGCCACUCAACGAGGGUGAAGAUCCUCCUUGAGUUGUAGAAAACUGGCACAAAUACGCGAAUUGGCGUCGAGAAUCUGUCGUUCCACGCCACGCCUUCCAUGAAAACCUGUUACAGAAAUUAAAAACCCAUGGUGAAGAAGAAAGAAAGGGACCUGGCUGGCGAGAAGAAAGACAUGGGGAGAAGCGGCUUUGAUGCCCUCUUGAUCAUCUUGAAAGAAUCCUACUAAAAUGUAGGCUAUGGGGAGGAACAGCCCCACCACGGCGGCGAACAACACGUACUGCUGGAGCAGCUUGUUCUGCUGGCUGAACACCGUCGGCUCCUCGCCCUCCAGCCUUGGAAACGCCACUCUGGAAAGGAAGUACAUGUACAUAAUCGAAAGCACCACAAACGCCAAGUCCUCUGCACACACCAAUCCGCUGGCAGAGAAGAUCACCAUCAACGCCAGCAUAAUCAGGUGGCGGAAACUCAGAAACACCGCCGGCUUCUUCCGCCCCAAUUUCAUCCCCCGAUGCUGCUGCUGCUGCUUUGGGUCGCAUGUUUCUUCGUGGAGGAGUUCUUCCUCCUUUGGGAGGCUCAUGUCCACUCCGCCGGACAUUUUUCUUCUUCUGAUUUUUUUUCCUUCCUUUUACAGAGGAGAAGUGAAAUGGGUGAAGGAGGAGAAAGGUAAUGGAGAUUGGAGUUUCAGUUCGAGAAGGAGUGUGGCAAUGAAAGUGGGCAAGUGGCGAGUGCUGGUUGGUUCCAUGAACACGUGGUGGUGCUGGUGCUGGUGCUGGUGCUGGUGGAGCUCUGUGUAGCUGGGAUCUUCUUUCUGGGUAAGUUAGGGUGGGUCCGGUCAAUUUUGGCCUCACCUUUUAAUGGUUUUCAAUGUUUGAUCUUAACAAAUGACCUGUAUGUGUACUAACAUUAUUUUUAGUCACAUACAUGAAUGAAAUUGGAUAACGAGAAUGAA